rnacentral:rRNA from 1 species
GAUGAACGCUGGCGGCGUGCCUAAUACAUGCAAGUCGAGCGAACAGACGAGGAGCUUUCUCCUCUGACGUUAGCGGCGGACGGGUGAGUAACACGUGGAUAACCUACCUAUAAGACUGGGAUAACUUCGGGAAACCGGAGCUAAUACCGGAUAAUAUAUUGAACCGCAUGGUUCAAUAGUGAAAGACGGUUUUGCUGUCACUUAUAGAUGGAUCCGCGCCGCAUUAGCUAGUUGGUAAGGUAACGGCUUACCAAGGCAACGAUGCGUAGCCGACCUGAGAGGGUGAUCGGCCACACUGGAACUGAGACACGGUCCCGACUCCUACGGGAGGCAGCAGUAGGGAAUCUUCCGCAAUGGGCGAAAGCCUGACGGAGCAACGCCGCGUGAGUGAUGAAGGUCUUCGGAUCGUAAAACUCUGUUAUUCGGGAAGAACAAAUGUGUAAGUAACUAUGCACGUCUUGACGGUACCUAAUCAGAAAGCCACGGCUAACUACGUG